CGCCGGCACACGCUUCCUCCCCACUGUGCCAUUCCCCUUUCCCCUCGCCUCCUCCUCUCCCGAGUCCCUGCGCCACCGGCUCCUCCCCUUCUCUUAUGCCUUCUCCUCCCCAUUCCUCUCAUCUCCCUGCCUGGGUUACCGCCGCCGCCGUCGCCCCAGGUGAGUUGUUGCUGGGGGCGGGGCAGGGCGGGCUGGUGCCCUCGAGUUUGCCAUUGACAAGGAAGUCGUGGGUGGAGGUGAGACGCUGCUGGAGUUCAAGGUGGCUGGACGCCACGACGGGGCAAUAGAUCAGCAGCCUGCGGCCCGCUGACCCCAACCCCUGCGGCCCGGACCUUAGGUCCAGUUCAUGUUAACUACCCGAAGCUUGGCGAGUUGUGGUGGUUAAUAAUUCCAUUUGCUUUGACGACACUAGAUCAUUAGUCACCGGAUGUUAAGACUUUGAAGGAUGAAGAAUAAAGAACAAUCUGUGAUUAGGCAGCCCAACGUCAAACAUGAUUGUGCUGAUGGAUGGGUUUUGGCGUGGUGGUGAGGUGCUUGAGGUCGCGACUCUGCGUCAGGAACCUCCUCUUGAGCGGGCUUGUACUUCAUGGUGGUGAGGUCUAUCUUGAUGGUAGACCAGUUGGUUGAUUAAAUGCCAAUAGGAGCAGCUUAGUGAACCACCGAUGUAGUCUCACUGUGCAUCAGUAUUUUUGACCUCAGCUCGUCUAUACAUAUGAUCCAUGUAUCGUAUUUAGUUUCUCUCUAAGACUUGGUAUGCUUGUGUUCUGAUGAUCCAAGGAACUCUGCCUCUCUUUUGGAGAUCUUCCACGUUUUGGAGACUGUUAAACCUUGAUUUGAAAAUCUGGAUGUGUCUAUGA